rnacentral:rRNA from 1 species
CGGGAGCAAUCCUGGUGGCGAGUGGCGAACGGGUGAGUAAUAUAUCGGAACGUGCCCAGUAGUGGGGGAUAGCCCGGCGAAAGCCGGAUUAAUACCGCAUACGACCUGAGGGUGAAAGCGGGGGAUCGCAAGACCUCGCGCUAUUGGAGCGGCCGAUAUCAGAUUAGCUUGUUGGUGAGGUAAUGGCUUACCAAGGCUACGAUCUGUAGCUGGUCUGAGAGGACGACCAGCCACACUGGGACUGAGACACGGCCCAGACUCCUACGGGAGGCAGCAGUGGGGAAUUUUGGACAAUGGGCGCAAGCCUGAUCCAGCAAUGCCGCGUGCGGGAAGAAGGCCUUCGGGUUGUAAACCGCUUUUGUCAGGGAAGAAACGGCUCUAGCCAAUACCUGGAGCUAAUGACGGUACCUGAAGAAUAAGCACCGGCUAACUACGUGCCAGCAGCCGCGGUAAUACGUAGGGUGCAAGCGUUAAUCGGAAUUACUGGGCGUAAAGCGUGCGCAGGCGGUUAUGCAAGACAGAUGGGAAGUCCCCGGGCUUAACCUGGGAACUGCAUUUGUGACUGUAUGGCUAGAGUACGGUAGAGGGGGAUGGAAUUCCGCGUGUAGCAGUGAAAUGCGUAGAUAUGCGGAGGAACACCGAUGGCGAAGGCAGUCCCCUGGACCUGUACUGACGCUCAUGUACGAAAGC